GACCCAAGGUGGCGUAGUGGUGUGAGUGUUGGACUCUGGCUCUGGAAACAAGGGUUCAAUUCCCUGUCUGGCCA